rnacentral:lncRNA from 1 species
AUAUGUGUUCAAAUGAGAGUUUCCAGAGUAGUUUUGAGGCUAUCGUAGCACUAAAAAGGACAAAGCCAACGUUUUUUUUUUUCCCUCACCAAAUCCCUCGAUCCUCUUAAUUGCUGUGUCCAGGCUCCAUGUGUCUGACAAUUAAAUCCGCGGUCCGUGAAUUGGUAAUAGGCUGCGUUUAUUCCUAUGAGGAUGGUAGGAACGGUGCUCAAAGAACAUGUUAUCUGUCACAGGCUGUUUUAGACAAUAUAAUCCCACGUGAAGGGUGAAAUAACUGCUUCUGAAGCUUGCAGUGAGCAGCGGCUGCGAGGAGUCAGUGGGGUUGUGCGUUGUGGGAGCAGCACCGGGUUCCUGAGGGUAAGGAAAAUGAAGUGCCAGAGCCAUGUGUGAGUACGGCUGUCUGCUGGGACACAAACAGAAAACAUGGGAGUCCAUGUGAAUUGCUGUUACCUCCAAUGUUACCUUUGGCAUACUAAACCUGUGUAGUGGAUCCCAGCCAGGAGCUGUGGAAUAGCUGUGAGAUGCUCCUUCUGAAGAGGAAAAUCUCGUGUUGGUAACGCUGCCUGAAUUCCCAAAGUAGGUCAGGAAUGCAGGCACGGAGAUACGGAUGUGUAGUGGGUGAGUCACGGUGUGAUCAGCUGUUCAGAAUGCUGUGUACUGCUUACAUUCCUUAGUUGCUAACUUGUGCCUGUAACAAUAAACAGAGGAAGCUUUACAUUGUUUUAUCUUCUUUUGUUGCACAGAAACGGGCUAAUUGCUUGUUUUCCCAGAGAGGGUAGCGCCAUGCCUGCUGGGGGGAGAGUGACUGUUCUCACAUAAAGCCAAACCGAAGAGUUUUCACUGUGGAAACAGAUGAAACAGCCGUUAUCCUGGGGAAUCCUAAGCAGCCUCAACACAUCCCCAAAACUGGCAGCACUAACUGGGCCAAAUGUAGCAGAAGAGUUGCAUGCCUUCUCUCUGUGGUCAUAUGUGGACUCGCUGCAGCACAUCUGGCUGUGAAGCUGUUCCCAGGGUGAGGUUUGUGCUCCUCGAGGAAGAGCCUUCUGGGAAGCACCCAACACGGGAAUAUUCUGCCUGGGAUGCGAUGCAGCUGUGCGAUGUGAAGGUCCUACAGAUGGCGGUGUCAGCCACACUGCCCCUCCAGGGACGUGCCUGAAAAAGUGUGUGGUGCUGAAGCAUGGCUGAUAGCGUUCUUCCAGGGAAGACUAUGUUUCAGUAUCAGCUGAAGGAAACACCCUAACCUAAUUUGCAAGUGCUUUCAGAUAAAUUACUUAAGUGUCAUAAACCUAACUGCCUGUUGUAUUCUAUUGGAUGCUCAGACUGCUCUGCCAUUAAGCUUCACAGAGUAGCACACACAGUUAAAUUACCAGAACAGUUACUUUCUAAAGUCCUUAUUUUCACUGAGUCAUUGGAUCAUUUGGGUUGGAAAAUACUAGUGAGAUAAUUAAUUCCGUCUGCUUUGAUAAGAAGCAACCUCUUGGUUGUUUUAUGUGCUCACUCAACAAAUAUUAAUUUAUUUGAAGUAAAUUGGGCUGAUGUUUACUUACAGUUGCAAAAUCGAGGCGUAAAUAUGAAUUCAAAUAUUGAACGAAUGUUGGCUGGAACAAGAUGGGUAUCAUAAAAACUGGUCAGUGGAAUGCUAUCCUGGUUUUAGCUGGGGAGAAUUAGUUUUCUGCCUGGUGUUUGGUACCAGCUGUUAGCUCACUCCUCUGUACCUCAAUAGGAAAGGAGAGCAAACUGCAAAAAAAAACUCAUGGAUUGAGAUAAAGUCAGUUUAAUUGGACAGAAAAGGAAGGGAAAUUAAUAAUGUUAAUGACAAAAUAAUAUGCAAAACAAGUGAUGCACAGUGCAGUUGCUCCCCAGCCAAAGAUGGCCAGUCAUUGAGCAGUGCUGUGCCAUGCUUUGCACUGGAGUAGUACCUAUCCUUAUGAAUUGCAGCUUAUAGGAGGAGAUGUAUAAUGCUAUUACACAAAGGGACUGGCUGGUCCCUUUUGGCUCUAUCUGACACCGUGCAAACCUUCCUAGAGAUCUAAUGCCUGCAAGACAAACCCCAAUUGAAAAGAUGCUAAGUAGCUCCCAGGGAACUGGACGAGACUGGUAUGCCAUUCCCGAAUGCAAGAAUCUCACAUUUCCACUACAAUAGCACAGUGUGCUGCUCUCCUUCUCAUGAAUGUCUUUGCCUGUGGUUUUCGCAGCAUAUUUAUAGGUGGUGUGCAAAUGGGGUGGCAAAGAGUCACCUUCUGUCCAUGGCUGACAAAAGUUAAUAGGAGUGAGGUGAAGAAAAGUAGCACAAGGCCCUCCUG